AGAAACAAGUAUGGGUUCGGAAGUCGAGUUCGGGUUCUUAAGACUUUUGGUGACCCCUUAAUUCGGAGCAUGCUUAUGCCAGUGGGUUGAGGCUGUCUAAAGCUGCUAGACAGAUAAUAAGAUGCAAAGUUUGAACCACAACAAACGUUUGAUUUGGAAAAUCCUAUCUGAGUGAUUUGGAUGUUGCCUGUUGGUGUGAUUAGUGUUUUGUGAGUUGAAAAUUAGUCGUCAGUUUGUCAAUGACAGCAUGAAUUAAUAGGAGGACAAGAAAAUAUAUUGGCAUGUUAUAUUGUAUAACACCACAGUUUUAUAAGGGGGCCUCUGCGGGUUGGUGUGGAGGAGCCACGGACAAUGAAUAUUCAUAGUCGACAAAAAAUGAAUGUUUGGUUCAUGGAUUAA